CCUUUAUCCAGAGCGGCGUAGGGAUCUGGCCCAGUUAUCGCCGCAGCAACCGGCCCUCAUCACGGCAUCGGUGCUUGACCAGCCCGCACGCGCCAACGAUGGCUCCACAGUCGCGACGGGAACGAUAAGGG
rnacentral:ncRNA from 2 species